rnacentral:rRNA from 1 species
AGAGUUUGAUCCUGGCUCAAAACGAACGCUGGCGGCNUGCUUAACACAUGCAAGUCNAACGCGAACGGUUUCUUCGGGAACCUAGUAGAGUGGCGCACGGGUGAGUAACGCGUNAGUNAUCUAUCCUGGCAUCUGGAAUAACCCACCGAAAGGUGAGCUAAUACCNGAUACNUNGAUUNAUCAAGAAAAGGUGGCCNCUAUUUANAANCUACUGUGCGAGGAAGAACUUGAUUNCCAUUAGCUCAUUUCUGUAGGGUNNUAGCCUACCAAGGCAACGAUGGUUAACGGGUCUGAAAAGAUGAUCCCNCCCCNCUGGAACUG